CUUUGAGAUGAUGAUAUUCUUUUCUGAAAUAAAAUAUAAUGUAGACUAAAAGAUAUCAGACUACAAUUAUCUGAUCAUUU